GCUCAGCUAACAGGGAGCACAGGGGAGGGUCAGCAGCCAGGGGCAACGGGGAUGUAAACAGACUGCCUGCACCGGUUUGGGUCAGUACGUCUAUCCGAGCACUCUUUUACCACCCUCUCACUUCUUUUUAUUUUGAUACAGUAAAGCCAGUCAGGAUGGAGAUUAGAAGGAGGAAGGCAGUCAAAAAAGGGACCCCUAAGGGAAGAUCGGAACAAGAAGGUGGAUUAGGAUCUCCUGACCGGGUGGCGGGGUCGGGUGAGGUGGCGAAGGCGGACGGGCCGCUGGCACGGCAUCGCAUAGGCUCCAGAAGGGGACUGAGUGAAUAUAAGAGAAACUUCAAAUGGAGAAGCCCAGAAUUUUGUAGCCCAGAGAAAUCCUCGUGGGCAGGACUUCGGUCGGACCAGUUUGGUAAGCGCCUCUGGAAGCUGUCCACCUUGACUGCAGCCAAAGCCCAGAAAGGAAUCACUAGAGAACCAAAAUUCAUUUCCAAGAGAAGGGUACCUUACUAUGAUCCACAGAUUUCGAAGUCCUUUGAAUGGACAGCAGAUUGUGAUUUGAAUGACCCACUUGAACCUGAAGCUGCAGAGUUGCACACAGACCACAACAACAAUGAUGUGAAUCAGGAAGAAAUUGAAACAGUAGAAGGACCCAGACUCCCCCCAAAAGUGCGGUCACAUUUGGUAGAUUCUAGCGGUGAAACAGCUCUUGCCCUUGCAGAGAACAACAUGAAGAAAUCACCCUAUGAAGCUCCACCAAAACAAAAUGAAGCAUUUUCAUCUCCGAAAAAGGAAUUAGAAAAAAUGGGUAAUGGGUUUCACAGAGCCCUUCAGAGGAAAGCAGAUUUGAAUAUUUCACGUUUAAAUACUUUCCCUAGAAAUUCUGAAUAUCAAAGCCAAUUUGUCUGGAAGAGUCCUCAUGAAAAGUCACCAAUACUUGCAGCUGAACAGGUUAUUUGCAACACAAGGAAAUCCACACCUGUGGUUAAAUCUCCUGCAAUUACUUCUGAAACUGCAUAUGAGAGAAAUUUCAAAGGGUCUCCUCCUGUUAAGGAUCCGCAAGAGAGAGGUGUUUCAGAAGAGAAAGAAUUUCCGGUUUGUGAACAAAGUAAGAGGGAAGAACCGUUUCAAAAACCAGCAGAAGAUGCAGCAAAACAAGGGAAAUCAGAACAAAAACAUCCUAAACAAAAAAACAAGCAACAUAUCAGUCCAAAACCCCUCUCUUUACAUACAAGUCAUGGGAAGAUGAACACUGAAUAUAGGUCAAAAUUUUUGUCCCCCGCCCAAUAUUUCUACAAAGAUGGAACUUGGUCUCGUAUUAGGAGUAAAGUUCACAACCAGGCAUCUCAAAACACUCUAAAUUCCAUGUGGUAUAUGGAGGUGAGAGAACUUCGAGAAAGAGCAAAGACUUACAGGCAACGAGUAGAGGGAACACACUUCUCCCGAUAUCAUUUCAAUCAGAUCCUGUCUGAUAAUAACAGUCUUUGGGAUGUGUCCUCAACUUCCAGUUCAGAAGAAGGGAUCAGCAACAACAUCAGAGCACUAGAUCUUGCUGGAGUUUCUGAAAAAGAGGCUGUACCAAGCCCUCAAGGGCUACAGCAGCCUGACUCCAGAGAACAACCACACCAGAAUAGCACUGGAAAGAAAGACAUGUCAGAUGCUUUAACUGUUCCAGUCAAAAGACGUUUAGUUUGGGAUGAACAAGAAGAUACUGAAGAAAGAGAAAAAUGUCAAUCAACAGAAGAGGAAGAAAACCAAGAUGAACAGGGUGCAGUUGUGGCUCAGCAGUUAGAAGAAAACAAUAAGGAUGCCAAAGGAGAUAUGAAAAUUGAAGGUGAAAAUUUAGAAUUGAAUACUUCUGCAACUGUGUCAGAUUCUUCUGUAUCCUCAAGGACUGGUGGCAGGCUUCCUACUCCAAAGCUGAGAGCUCUUGGUGGAACUCAGAGGACUCAUCAUGAUCGCACUACCCCAACUGUUGGAGGUACAGUUUUAGUGUCUCCUCCUAAAUUCAAGUCUUCAUCUUCACCACAGAGAAAACGAGACUUAGGAACAGACCCUUCGAAAAGAAGGUCCUUCCGGCCUGACGUGAAAAUGAAAGCUGUUUCACUGUUUAACUCUCCACCUGCUGGGCUGAGAACUGUGGAUCCUCUGCCACUUAGGCAGGAUCCGUGGCCUCCUAACAGGGUUGCUGAUGAGCAAGUUCCUCUUGCUUCAGCCCAUCAGGAACAUUCCUCUGCAACUUCCGUGCUCAAGUCAGCAAAAAGCUCCUCUGUGCCUUGGUGGAGUCCCUCUCAUCGUAUUCAAGGGACUCUCAAGGAUCCAGAAUUCCAGCAUAAUGGGAAUCUUGGCAAUCCAAAAAUGAGAACUUUCCAGUUGCCCCUUCGGGAAAGAAACUGUAAUGAUGAAGAUGACAGGUUGUCUCAGAUCUCUGCUCGCUCGGCAGCAUCUAGCUCUCUUGCAUCUCAGAUACUGGAACGAGCUCAGAAGAGGAAGGAUUUCUGGGGCAAGACAUAGUCUCUUCCCACCUGUCGUGUAGAAACUGUUCUGUAAAAUGAUUUAUCUUUUAUAGUUUGUAGUGUACAUUUAAAAAAAAAUGUGAUUGGAGAUCACAUGUUAAUGCUGCAUUCUUUCACUUAACCACUGAUAUGGCCCAAGUUUUAGGGCUUGCCAUCCCAAUUGAAAAUUAAGUAUUUAAACUGAUGUUGAAAAUGAACAUCCUUUAUAUCUGAGAGUUCGGUCUUAAUUCACUAUGUCUCUACAGCCAUAUGAGGCUUUUCUUUUUUUUUUACUGUGACACCUCUUGAAACUGAGAUAAUUAUUUUUUUAUGGAACCUGUGUGUUACUUUUCAAGGUAUUCUGCUGCAGUCAGGCAGGUAUGACCUGGAACAGUAUUCAGGGGCAACACCGUCAUUUAUCAAAUACCUCAGUUGCAUUAUUUUAACUAGUUGUCUUAAAGGCAACAAUGGUAUAUUUGUUUAUGUCACUGUAUGAAUUGUCAGCACAACACAGUACUGUGACAAAAAGUUACUUUUGCUACUUAACUGUCUUUAACCUGUUACAAAAAGAUUCCUAUUUCCUAAUGAUGCAAACAUGGAACGUACAGGAGUUUGAGAAAAGGACAUGAAGCAUUAGAAUUUGUUUGUUGUCCACAGAUUUUUGGCCAGGAAGACUAUUAGAGUUCAGUGUGUACAGUACUGCAGUUUGUCAGAUAUACUGAUUUAAAUGCUUGUCUUGUGGACUGAGACCACAAGAUGUUUACUGUUAAUUUCAGCUUCUCUAGAAAAAGCAAACUCAGCCACCUUAACCAGUGGUGUUCCCCAGCCCCUCUUCAGACUCAGGUAUUUAGGAGGAGUUGAUUUCUUAAAGUAAUCUCAAAAGAAUGUUUUUUUUCUUGACUUUGACAUUUUAAUUACCUCUCAUCCUAGUUGCCUGUUGCAGAGAGAUUGAUACUGUUAUGACUGUCACAGUGAAAAGUGUUUGUGAUUUAUGCUGACAGCUCAUUUUAUUUUUCCAAGUGAUGCAGACAAGUUAAUAUGAAGUAGAAGAAAUGGGUGGUUAACAAGCAGUUUGGUUCUUGUGCGGCUUCAAGUUUUAGUAUUACUUCAUUUGGAAAUUUUAUACAAGAACAAUUUGAAUUUUGUACACAUUUGAUUACAUUUCGAUUUUGUAUGCAAUUAUGUAUGCAUAUUGCUGAAAAUAAAAAAGAUGGUUUGAUUUCUUUUUAUGGAAAUUAUGCUGGAUAAUUUGUCAGGGCUUAUUACAUUGGCACUUCUCUGUUUAGUUCUCUGUUUCACCUGUUCAGCUGGAAUAUCUGUGGACUUACGAAAGCCAAGAUGUUACCUCAGAAAUCUUCAGAAAGAGUAAUUUAUGAAAGCUAGAUAUGUUGAUACCUGAAAUCAUGACUGACUGCAGAUCCUUUAAAUGGUGACCUGGAGCAGAUUGGUGCUACACAGGCUGGAUAGGCUGCAGUGCCCAAAGGGUCAGUCCCCAACAAAUUAUUUAAAGUGUUAAUUUAAAGAGUGAAUGAAUGAGUGCUAUCUAGCAUUGAUCAUGUUAGAAAACAGCGUCCACUUCUUCCAGAAAUGGUACAUUACAGUAGCUUCCUACCAGUGGAGUUGUUUGAAACAAAUAAGGUAUUUUAUUUUAUCUCAAGAACUUCUAGGAUUAUUCUGUGGCGUGCACUUUAUGACCAAUUAUAACUUACACAUUAAGUUUCUGUUGAAAGGGAAACUCUACGCUUCAGUCUUUAUGAAAAAAUUGCCAGUUUUCCUCUAUAAAUACAGUUUUAUAGGGGAAAACUUAAUGGCUAUAAGUGGAAAUACUUUUGUUUAAGAGGGAAUGUUGCUGUGAUGUUGUGGGUGGUUUAAUUUUGGUGUCUUCUAUCUACAUUAUUCAUACUCAACAUGUUCUCAUUGUUUUCCAGGCCAAGAGCUUUCAUCAUCCACUACUUCUCUGUGAUACCUGUAACCUGAAUUUUAUGAACUGUGCCCUCUUUUUUAGUGUUUUAUUUUUGUUUUUCUAUGUUUGCCUGGGUUUCCUGGCUAUCUGACAGCUCUGUCAGGGUGUUUGUACAGGUCUGAUUUUGAGGUCUUUAAGUUAUAGAUAUCAUAACACCAUAUGUUCCAGUUUUGCUUACAGUAUUGCAUGAAGAGUCUGGUACAUCUAGGUAGCUCUGAGUUUGUUAGAUGUGUGCAGUAUGCUACUUAUUUGAUUUCUGCCAAGGAGAAAGUACACAUGGUAAAGGAGGGAGACAGUUUUGUUGCAUGGGGUUACACACCCAAUUUAGAUAUGAGAAUGGAAAUUCAUGGUGUCUCACACACAUCAUUGAACAAUAUUUCCCAUCUAGAAAACUUUUACCUUUUGCCUGAAAUGUUCUAAUUGAAUUUACUUUUGGAAGAAGUAUUUAAAGGUAAGUGUAGACAAAAUACCUGUUACUGAGUUACGCUAGUGCAAAGCUGCUGAAGUGUGCUUUUCUGUAGUGUUCAAGGCAGAUGUAAAAUUCUUAAUGCCUGUUUUCUGCUAUUGUUUAUCUUAUUCAAGAGAGAUUUUGUUUUGUUGUUUUUCUAAAUACUUCAGAUCAACCUGCAAACAUACUUCCUGUUGUGUUUUCCAGCAAGCUGAAAAUAGAAAAAAAGGUUCAAAAGUGUGCCCUUUAUUAGUAAUUACAAGUGUGUGCUGCACAGUGAAUGCGUAUUGUUUUCUGUCAAGAAAACUUUAGAAGCCUUAAAGUGGAGAGACCAAGUAAGAUAAACUGGGAUGAAGGCAGUGGCCAAUAGGAGAUGUAUCUAAGGAAUAAACAGCUUUGGGAGCUUGUCAACUUAAGGUCCAGAUUUACAAAUCCAGCACAUUAAUAACUGAUCCAGUCAUAGUAUAACCCAGUAAGUGUUGAAUUGUCUUCAGCUGCUGUUCCCAAGUUGUAGAUACCUGCGGGUGAAUCUCGCUGAGGGGGGUUCACAGCUCUUCACCACCCGUACAAGUAAAUAAGCCAUCUCAUCCUCACUGACUGCUGCCAACUGGGAAAAGGCCUUUCCUGCCAGUAAAGUGUUCCCUCAGCAAGCCCACAAAGAGCAGGCUGGAUUCCAGUCUACACUUCUCAAGAAUUUACUGUCUUGCCAAACAAUAAGCCUGUUGCCUGUCUGUGAGAAUGAGAAGUGAUCUCUCAGUUUCUUCUACUGAAUCAGGAGAGCAGUGGUUGGUGGCCUAGGGGUUGGAACUAAGACCUCCCUGUUCCCAAAGCUCUGCUCACUCUGGCAUUUGCCUUCUCCUCCCUCUGGCCAAAUCACUUAGGUUGGAAUGACUUCAGCAGGAGGGGUGAAGCACCUUUGUCAGUACUUUCGCAAUUCCUCCGGGGAGGUUUUGAUGCUGCUGGGCAUGAGGAGAGUUUUGAGAAUUUAGCUGGUUGCUUACAGUAGCAGCAAGGUAGUAUUUAGGCACUUGCAUCCUUUUAUGGCUCUGGGCUUUAAUUUCUUUUACAGAGUCUCCAUUUUCAGUGCCUUUCAUGAAGCGUCAGCCUUCUCUACUUAAAAUCGUGAAAAUACUUCCAAACCCCUGGAUUGAACAGUUUAAGAAGAGUUGACUGGGGCUUUUCGUCUCUGCAGGAAAGUUUGGGAGAAUGUUGGACUGUGGAUAAUCCCAUCCAAUUUUGCAAUAAUAUUUUUUUGUUACUUUCCAAUUUUAAUGCCUUACUGAGGUGAGUUCUGAAACAUAAUGUGAAGUAUAUAAAUGUUGUUAAUCUGAUAAAUGUAAAAAGUCAAGUUUCUUUAGUCAUCAGCGGUAGAUUGCUUUUAAGGAAGGUGCAGGCUACAAGACUGUUUUUGGGACAUACAGUCUGGAUUAAGUCAUAAGGGCAGUAAGUUUUCCAGUGAUACUUAAGUCACUACGGGUAUGUUGUAUAGGGAUUUUUCAGCAUUUUUUGAUGAAUAGAUCCACAUGUCUUCCGUAUGGCUGAUGGAUCUCUAUGUAGUGAGUAACAACAUCCCGAAAACACGUUUGACUUCACCGAUGUCUUACAGGUAACCUGAGUUCCCUCUGCACCCAAGGGCCACAGCCCAAAACCCAGUGUGUUGCAGUAAGGUGAAGGGAAGCUACCAGCCACCAGCUUUCUCCUUCGCUCACAAAUUCUUGGAGUCCAGGUACUGAUAUAUUCUCCCUGUCUGACUCUUGGUGUCAGUGCUUUCUGGCAGAUAGCAGUGGAGGAAAAAGGGAUUUCCAAAUCGGUAAUACUUGACGGGCAAAUCUGUAGUACUGGAAGAUGGGGCAGGAAGCACAGCUUCUUGAACAAUUCAGUAUGUGCUUAUUUGCUUGAUGUCAUAUUGCUUCAUUCCAUCUUCCUGUUCUGCAAGGCUGAGCUGGCACCUAACAUUCUGGUAUCAGAGCAGUUCUUAGCAUCUGGUAAAAUUUGUCAGCAAAGAGCCCCAUCACUAUCUUAUGCAAGUGGAAGUUUUGCUAUGACCUUGUUGACCAAUUUUUACUGUAGCCUGAAGUAAAAUUGUUUCGUUAUCUGGAUGCACACAAAUAUAUGAUAAAGAAAACAAACUGAACAGUAAUUCUAAUGGAAAGUGACCAAAAAUUAAUGUCCUAAUUCUAGCAGUUAUUCAAACCUUUUUAGACAGAAGCCUCGGGAAGAGAGGGUAGGAUGGUGGAGCUGUGGUUAACUCUUUGGGAUGCAGUCAUUUCUUGGGUUAUAUCUGAAACCCAGUGGGAAAGUGUUAAUCACAUAGCAGUGAUCACACCAAAAGCAAAACUUGUAGAGGGGCCAAUGGAUGGUAGCUAACAAGAAAACUCCAAUUUCAUAGAAAUCCAAGUUUUGGAUUGCUUUUUGAUCCGAGUUUUCUAUUGUGUUGAAGGACAUCUGGAGUUCUAUGUUAAAAAUGUAAAUGAGCUUCCUAAAUAUAUUAGUAUAUAUACAGUUCAUCUGUGUCAGAUAUGAGCUGACCUUGUGAGGUUUCUGUUUCAGUCUGUUCUAGAGAAGCUCGUGGAGUGACUGAACAAGCCUGAGCUUUGCAUGCUGAAUGUGCUGCACCUGGGAAACUGAAGGAUGGUUCUUGGUGGUCUUGCAGUGUCAUGUUAGGGUGGAGGACUGAGAACUACAUAAGAUUCACCUGGAGACUGAUGGUCCUUUGAGAAGGCAAGCAAGGCCUGAUAGUGCUUACAGCUUUCACCCCUCUGUUGGAUCACUUAUUCCAUUCAUGGAGCUGGAUUAAGAGUGUCCCUUUCUGGUCACUGGGUUCUUGUAGCACAUAUAUGCAGCCGUCUGCAGAUGUACCCUGUUCUGGAGAGCUGGAUGUCCAGAUCUCACUACAAGUUUGCUCCUGUGGACUGGGGAAACCUGCUGAGAUUCAGUGCACUCCCCAGCUAGAGUGGGACUGUGAGUUUCCAGGACAGUGCUCUUGUGAGGAGCACACAUCUGUGUUUCCAGUGAGAAGCUGGCUUCAGCCUGUUUAUGUAUUUUAGCUGACAUGACAUGUGACUAAAAACAGAUAACCCCAGAAAAUAGCAUUAUAAUUCCUAUGCUGUAGCUAUUUUGUUUAGUCUCAUUUUGGCCCCAUGAAUCUCACAAUCUUGACAAUAGUUCUGCUCCUAGAGGAAACUCGCUGGCUCAGAGGACUCUCUUGGGAGAUGGGAAAUAGCAUAACCUGUCUGGGGAGGGGCUGGGGCAUGGACUGUUGGCUUCCUAGAGAUGGACACUAUUUAGAAGACUACUGUUAACAACAUGGGAACCAGGAACCGUCACCUUCUCUAAUGGCUCUGUAAUACAGAAUAACUGAGCAGCCACGGGCUCACCCUCAGGCGAUGAUGCUGAGCUCAGAGCCUCAGUGAAAGUGCUGGUGUAUGGGCAAUGUCAGGCACAAAUAUUUCACCUUAAAUUACAUUGCUUCCUUUCAAGAUGGAUUUAUUUAAUUACACAAGAUGGUGUUGGUUUAUUACAUGAUAACUGAUGGUACUUGGUAAACCAAGGUGCAGAAUGCUGGGGCUAUUUCUUAAUCUGAGUAACUGUGUGUCACUUAAUUUGGAUUAUAAACCAGCUUGCAAAAUUCUGCUCCCAAUUAGAGUGGUUUUCUUUGAGAUAACGCUAUGUCAGUAAUUCCACUUUGCCACUGAGUCGCGGCUGUGCAACCACACCACAUUAACAGGAAGCACAGAAGUUUCAGUUCACCUGAUCUGACUAUUCGCAAGACAUAGCUGGAUAGAUGUAGGUCACUAUAUAAAGUGACAGUUUUAUAGUAUGUACGUGACUUUACACACUGAAUUCAAAGCACUAGCCAUCUGGUGGAAGGGUUAAUAGUGGUGCCUUUGGUGGCAUGACAUGGUGUGUGCACUGACAUGGUCUGCAUUCCCUUUUCUCUCAUCUGUGUCAACUAAGUGAUGGCUCCUAUUGAUAAAUUCUUCUCUUUAUGCUUUACUGAUGUUGGCAGGAGUUGUCUGAAGAGGCAAGACCACCAGACUAACAUCUAUUGCACUUAAAUUGACACUGUUCUUUGGGUUUUUGUUUUCAUAUUAAUCACUGAAUCAUUCUGGCACUGUAAUAGAAAUCAUGACAUCAGUGGUUCUGGUAAUAAUGUUGUAUCAACACAUUAAUAGUGUUGUCUCUGGAUGACUUUCUCUUGGAUCUCCAGUACAUGAAUGUUUCUGAGGUGAGAAUAAAGUUAUUUAAACCAAG